rnacentral:rRNA from 1 species
GAUGAACGCUGGCGGCGUGCUUAACACAUGCAAGUCGAACGGGAAACAUUUUAUUGAAGCUUCGGCAGAUUUAGUUUGUUUCUAGUGGCGGACGGGUGAGUAACGCGUGGGUAACCUGCCUCACACUGGGGGAUAACAGUCAGAAAUGACUGCUAAUACCGCACAAGCGCACAGAGGCGCAUGCUUCAGUGUGAAAAACUCCGGUGGUAUAAGAUGGACCCGCGUUGGAUUAGCUAGUUGGCAGGGCAGCGGCCUACCAAGGCGACGAUCCAUAGCCGGCCU